rnacentral:lncRNA from 1 species
AUGUACACAUAUAUUAUUAUUUUUCAUCUAGGUUUUUAUUUUAAUAUGGCCCAUAAAUCUCAAUUUCUGUUCCCAUGCUCUUUGAUGUUAAAUAAGUAUCAACAUUCAGUAGGUCAUAAGCCACACCUUACAGAAGCAGCAAAGUCAACACUGCUCAUUUUUUUCUUUUUCUUUUUUAUAAUUUGCAAAGCAGUGGCACUCAGAGAACCUCCCAUCUGCGGGUUCACUCUUCAGAUGCCUACCAGGGCCCAGGAACCUGGAGCUGGGAACUCAAUCCAUUUCUCCCAAGUUAGGUGGCAGGGAUCUAUUCACUUGAACCAUAUUCACUGCCUCCCAGGACCUGCAUUGACAGAAAGCUGGAACUGGGAACUGGAGCUGGGAAUUGAACACAAACACUCCAAGACUUGAAGGACUUGGAGCAGCCCAGCCCUGAUAACCACUCUCAGAUAUUUUCCUAUAUAGAAGUAGAACAGAGAUGGAACUGAGCAGUCAACAAACUGGAGGUAAACAUGAAGCCAGCUAUGCAGUCUAGAAGGAAGAGCUCUCCUGCCACUUGUCUUCAAUGCAAUCCUCAGGGUCUGGUUCCAGACCUCUUCUCCAAUAUGAAACCCUCUACCUGUGUAAUACUUAAUCAUAAUAUUUACUAUGUGAGGAUAUUGUGAGGAUUAGAUGAGAUAAUCUACUAAAAGUGCUUUGCUCAGUGCCAGAUACAUAGGAACUCAAUGCCUGUUGGCAAAUAUCACUAAUCAUUCUAUGGUUUUGGUUAUCACUGAUGACAUAACCGUCUGUAAUUCAGAUCUCUUCUCUCAGUACUAGACCUGAAUAUUCAGUUCUAUAUUAGAGGAAAUGUCUACAUGGAUGCAUUUAGAUUUCUAAAACUCAGCAUGCUUCAAACAAUUUAUGUCUAAUCUUUGUUGCACAUCUAUAGUCUGUUCUGCUAGUCUCUGUGAAUGGCAUCACCACCCGUCCGGUGCGCAGGCAAGGAACCUGGCAAUGGUCACCAGGUCUUCCUAAAUAUUAUUCAAAUCUACCCAUCUUUUCUCUAAUCACAUCCUGACUCACUAAUGAUGGACACUGAGCUUUGCAUGGAUCAUUCUGUCAUUUUUCCCGCUGCUAUUAUACCCUCAAGUCUGUGCUUAUGGUAGCUGACUGAUCUUUCUACAAUUGCAAAAGCAAUAUCAUUUCCCUAUUUUAAUCUUUCACUCACUCUCCCUUAGAUGUCAGGAAAACCCAAAUGCUGACUACAUAAAGCUCUUCAUCAUGUCCUUUCUACACUCCCCCUACGCAUACACUAAUGUUUAGCGGCUGAAUUAUAUUGAACACUCGAGCUUCUUUUGUCUCCACAUCUUUGCACAUGUUGUGUUUUCGUCUGGCUCAGACUUUCUUUCUUCUGAAUCAGGCUAUGUCC